rnacentral:rRNA from 1 species
GGAUGUGGCGUUGCCCAGACAACUAGGAUGUUGGCUUAGAAGCAGCCAUCAUUUAAAGAGUGCGUAAUAGCUCACUAGUCGAGUGACACUGCGCCGAAAAUGUACCGGGGCUAAACAUAUUACCGAAGCUGUGGAUUGUCCUUUGGACAAUGGUAGGAGAGCGUUCUAAGGGCGUUGAAGCAUGAUCGUAAGGACAUGUGGAGCGCUUAGAAGUGAGAAUGCCGGUGUGAGUAGCGAAAGACGGGUGAGAAUCCCGUCCACCGAUUGACUAAGGUUUCCAGAGGAAGGCUCGUCCGCUCUGGGUUAGUCGGGUCCUAAGCUGAGGCCGACAGGCGUAGGCGAUGGAUAACAGGUUGAUAUUCCUGUACCACCUAUAAUCGUUUUAAUCGAUGGGGGGACGCAGUAGGAUAGGCGAAGCGUGCGAUUGGAUUGCACGUCUAAGCAGUA